UAAAAAGGUACUCAAGGGCGCUAAAUGGAUGCCUAGACGUAUAUUACCGAUGAAGGACGUGGAAGACUGCGAUAAGCUUCGGGAAGCUGUCAACAAGCUUUGAUCCGGAGAUCUCCGAAUGGGGAAACCCAGCAUGAGUCAUGUCAUGUUGCCACUUGCUGAACACAUAGGCAAGCGAGCGGGAACCAUCUGAACUGAAACAUCUUAGUAGGAUGAGGAAGAGAAAGUAAAUAACGAUUGCGAAAGUAGUGGCGAGCGAAAUCGCAACAGCCCAAACCUUUUAAGUUUUUGCCUAUUAAUUUAGGCAAAUAAGUUGAUAGACGAAUACUUAUAAGGGGUUGUGAUAUUACAUAUGACCAAGUCAGAGAAUUUGAUUCAUUCAAAUAAUCUGAUUUGCGAUAACUGGCUAUCAACAGUUAGUAAGGUAAGAAAUCGGCGUGGUUAGUAGAAUAGUUUGAAUGACUAGCCAAAGAACGUGAAAGCCGUGUAUAUGAAAACGACGCUGACCUUAUGUAUGUUUUAUCGAGUAGGACGGGGCACGAGAAACCCUGUUUGAAUCUGGCUGGACCACCAGCCAAGGCUAAAUAUAAUAUACGAUCGAUAGUGAACUAGUACAGUGAUGGAAAGGUGAAAAGAACCCCGGGAGGGGAGUGAAAUAGAUCCUGAAAUUUAGUGCCUACAAGGAGUCGGAGCCGGCUUGUCCGGUGACGGCGUGCUUUUUGUAGAACGAUCCAGCGAGUUAAUUUUUACAGCGAGGUUAAGUCAAUUGACGGAGCCACAGUGAAAGCGAGCCUGAAUAGGGCGAUCAAGUUGUAAGGAUUAGACCCGAAACCGGGUGACCUAACCAUGAGCAGGUUGAAGCCACUGUAACAGGUGGUGGAGGACCGAACCAGGAUACGCAGCAAAGUGUUUGGAUGACUUGUGGUUAGCGGUGAAAUGCCAAUCGAACUCGGAGAUAGCUGGUUCUCCUCGAAAUAGCUUUAGGGCUAGCGUCGUGUUAGUAGCACAUGGGGGUAGAGCUCUGUAAAGGACUGGGGCGGGCAACUGUACCCACCCUUAACAAACUACGAAUACCAUGUGUGUAAUCACGGCAGUUAGAACAUCGGUGCUAAGAUCGGUGCUCAAAAGGGAAACAGCCCAGACCAUCAUCUAAGGUCCCUAAAUUAACGUUCAGUGGGAAACAAGGUGAGAUUUCUUAAACAGCUAGGAUGUUGGCUUAGAAGCAGCCAUUCAUUUAAAGAGUGCGUAACAGCUCACUAGUCAAGAGAUCUUGCGUGGAAAAUGUAACGGGGCUAAAACGUUAUACCGAAGAUAUGGAUUACACGCUAAGUACAAAGUUAAAGUUGUGUUACAAUCAAUUUAUGGAAAAUGAGAUUUACAUAGGUAGCGUCUACGAACACUAUAAAGGCAAUAAGUAUGUUGUUGUAAGUAUAGCUGUUCAUACUGAGACGCUUGAAGAGCUUGUAGUUUAUCGAGCCAUUUAUGGCGACGGAGAAUUAUGGGCUAGACCUAAGAAAAUGUUUUUAGAUAAUAUUGAAAAGAACGGAAAGAUCAUUCCAAGGUUUAAAUUGAUUAAAAAACUUUGAUUUUGUUCUUAGUGUGUAGUGGUAGAGGAGCGUUCCUAUCAGCGGUGAAGUCGAAUCGGAAGGUUCGGUGGAGCGGUAGGAAGUGAGAAUGCUGGAAUGAGUAACCAUAAGAGAGGUGAGAAUCCUCUCGGCCGUAAGAGCAAGGUUUCCUGAGCCAUGGUAAUCAUCUCAGGGUUAGUCGGGCCUAAGCCGAGGCGCAGAGCGUAGGCGAUGGACAUCAGGUUAAUAUUCCUGAACCGGUUAAGUUUUGUACACUGUUCACGGGGAAGUAAUCGAAGCGGAUUCAUGGUUUAUCCGUCCAACCGAGCGGGAACGCAAAGGGAGUGAAAGUGAUUCUUCGGAGUCGCGAUUUUGGUGAAAGCCCUGGCUAGAAAAGCAGGUGUACGCGUGGACUUAGCCGCCCGUACCGCAAACCAACACAGGUGCUCGAGUCGAGUAGACUCAGGCUUACGAGCGAACCUUCGCUAAGGAACUCGGCAAUACAGCGACCGUAACUUCGGGAUAAGGUCUGCCCCCACUUCGGUGGAUAUCAGCCGCGUUCACUCAGUGAAUAUUAGGUUAAAGAGUACAUUUUUAAUCACAAAACGAAUUUUCUGAGAUAGAGCAAACGAAUUGUUCUUUUGAACGCGAACCUCUGACGUCUAACGAUGUGGGGGCCGCAGCAAAAGAGCCCACGGAACUGUUUAUCAAAAACACAGGUCUCUGCUAACACGAAAGUGGAUGUAUAGGGGCUGACUCCUGCCCAAUGCUGGAAGGUUAAGGGGAGCGCUUCACGGUGCGAACUGAAGCCCUAGUCAAUGGCGGCGGUAACUAUAACCGUCCUAAGGUAGCGAAAUUCCUUGUCAGGUAAGUUCUGACCCGCACGAAUGGAGUAAUCAUGUGGGCACUGUCUCAGCGAAGGACUCGGUGAAAGUGCAUUGGCGGUAAAGAUGCCGUCUGUCCGUACCAGGACGAAAAGACCCCAUGGAGCUUUACUACAGCUUUACAUUGAAUAUGGUUUCAACAUGUGUAGCAUAGGUGGGAGACUUUGAAGCAGAUACGCCAGUAUUUGUGGAGUCACCAAGUGAAAUACCACCCUUGUUGUGAUUGUGUUCUCACGCUGACCGUUAUCCGGUUAGCGGACCGUGUAUGGUGGGUAGUUUAACUGGGGCGGUUGCCUCCUAAAGAGUAGCGGAGGCGUUCAAAGGUUGGCUAACUUCGGAUGGAAAUCGAAGUGAUAGUGUAUGCGCAUAAGCCAGCUUGACUGUGAGGAGUACAUUCCAAUCAGAGACGAAAGUCGGAGCAAGUGAUCCGCUGUACGUACAUUUGUACAUGAAUGUGGGAUCGACAGCGCAAACGGAUAAAAGUUACCCUGGGGAUAACAGGCUUAUAGCGCCCAAUAGUUCACAUAGACGGCGCUGUUUGGCACCUCGAUGUCGGCUCAUCACAUCCUGGAGGGGGAGCACCUUCCAAGGGUUCGGCUGUUCGCCGAUUAAAGUGGUACGCGAGCUGGGUUCAGAACGUCGUGAGACAGUUCGGUUUAUAUCCGGUAUGGACGAUAGGAAACUUGAGAGGAUCUACCCCUAGUACGAGAGGACCGGGGCGGACGCACCUCUGGUGUAUCGAUUGUGGCCACCUGCUGCAUUGUCGAGUAGCUAUGUGCGGACUAGAUAAGCGCUGAAAGCAUAUUAAGCGCGAAACUAACCUCAAGAUAAGGUUUCCCUAUGAGGACACAGAAAGACUAUCUGUUUGAUAGGCGCAAGGUGGAAGUACAGUAAUGUAUGGAGCUAAAGCGUACUAAUAGUCCCAUUGCCUUUUUAUG
rnacentral:rRNA from 1 species